UACGUUCCCGGGUCUUGUACACACCGCCCGUCACACCAUGGGAGCGGGUUUUACCAGAAGUAGGUAGCUUAACCGCAAGGGGGGCGCUUACCACGGUAGGAUUCGUGACUGGGGUGAAGUCGUAACAAGGUACCC
rnacentral:rRNA from 1 species